AGCGCCCUAGCCCACGGUCAUCCAAGCCCCCUCCCCCUGCCAGGGGGAGGGGGCCGCGCCCCGAUCCAACCGGUGCGACGCCG
rnacentral:tRNA from 1 species